AGCCUGAUGCAGCGACGCCGCGUGAGGGAUGACGGCCUUCGGGUUGUAAACCUCUUUCAGCAGGGAAGAAGCGAAAGUGACGGUACCUGCAGAAGAAGCGCCGGCUAACUACGUGCCAGCAGCCGCGGUAAUACGUAGGGCGCAAGCGUUGUCCGGAAUUAUUGGGCGUAAAGAGCUCGUAGGCGGUUUGUCGCGUCUGCUGUGAAAGCCCGGGGCUCAACCCCGGGUCUGCAGUGGGUACGGGCAGACUAGAGUGCAGUAGGGGAGACUGGAAUUCCUGGUGUAGCGGUGAAAUGCGCAGAUAUCAGGAGGAACACCGAUGGCGAAGGCAGGUCUCUGGGCUGUAACUGACGCUGAGGAGCGAAAGCAUGGGGAGCGAACAGGAUUAGAUACCCUGGUAGUCCAUGCCGUAAACGUUGGGCACUAGGUGUGGGGGACAUUCCACGUUUUCCGCGCCGUAGCUAACGCAUUAAGUGCCCCGCCUGG
rnacentral:rRNA from 1 species